rfam:Mycobacterium shinjukuense strain CCTG 53584 Mycobacterium_shinjukuense_CCTG53584_contig3, whole genome shotgun sequence.
CAAGCACCUCGUUAGGUGAGGCGGCUACCCGAACACAGGCCACUGACCCCGAACGUCGAGAGACGCCCCGGGUCAGGACAGCUCCUCCCGGCUUAAGGGUUGAGCCCAGGUGGCUUCCGGUCUUCCCGGACACGUCGUGUGGUGCCAAAGCUCUGACGAGUGGGGUGCGGA